GUUGAUAGGUCGAAGGUGUAAGUGCAGCAAUGUAUUUAGCUUAUCGAUACUAAUAGGUCGAGGACUUGACCAAG
rnacentral:rRNA from 1 species